rnacentral:rRNA from 1 species
AUUGAACGCUAGCGGGAUGCUUUACACAUGCAAGUCGAACGGCAGCGCGAGGUAAGCUUGCUUACUUUGGCGGCGAGUGGCGAACGGGUGAGUAAUGUAUCGGAACGUACCCAGUAGCGGGGGAUAACUACGCGAAAGCGUGGCUAAUACCGCAUACGCCCUACGGGGGAAAGGGGGGGAUCUUAGGACCUCUCACUAUUGGAGCGGCCGAUAUCGGAUUAGCUAGUUGGUGAGGUAAAGGCUCACCAAGGCUGCGAUCCGUAGCUGGUUUGAGAGGACGACCAGCCACACUGGGACUGAGACACGGCCCAGACUCCUACGGGAGGCAGCAGUGGGGAAUUUUGGACAAUGGGGGCAACCCUGAUCCAGCCAUCCCGCGUGUGCGAUGAAGGCCUUCGGGUUGUAAAGCACUUUUGGCAGGGAAGAAAGGGCGCGUGGUUAAUACCUGGCGUUGAUGACGGUACCUGCAGAAUAAGCACCGCUAACUA